UUGCCCUAAGCUUGUUUUGCUCUCUAAUUUUCCCUUGUCGUUUUCUCCUCCCUUUUCCUUCUCCCUCUUUUCUUUUCUUAGCCUUCUUCCUCUUGUUUCUACACUGCCACCUCAUCCACUAUCCUUGUUGCCGUCGCACCUUGCACUCAUUGAGCUGUCGAUUUCUUUCCCUUAUCGAAUCACUCUCUAUUCGUUCAGAUUUCGUUAGUGAAUAGAACUGUCAACAAUGGCUUCCCAUAUCCAAUUUCGAUAUGUUGGAUCGAAUCUUGACGUGAACGAAUUAGAUCUGAGUUGAAGAGGUACCGUACGACGUAAGAAGUAAAGUGUGUAGGGUUGGACAAGUUCUAGGGAACUCUUACUGUGGAGUGUAGCAGAUCGUCGGGUAGGAAAACUACACUGUUAUACAUGCAUCCUAUGUUUUUACUAAGUUCACUAUGGGAUUGAUAAUCUGAUAUGUGCUAUAUAUUGCAUACACGUAUGUUGUUAUUUAGUGUUUUAUAUAUUUACUGCUUAUGUUAAAACCA